rnacentral:rRNA from 1 species
ACUCCUACGGGAGGCAGCAGUGGGGAAUAUUGCACAAUGGGCGCAAGCCUGAUGCAGCCAUGCCGCGUGUAUGAAGAAGGCCUUCGGGUUGUAAAGUACUUUCAGUCAGUGAGGGAAGGGAUGGAUGCGUUAAUAGCGUAUUCAUUUGACGUUAGCUGCAGAAGAAGCACCGGCUAACUCCGUGCCAGCAGCCGCGGUAAUACGGAGGGUGCGAGCGUUAAUCGGAAUUACUGGGCG